rnacentral:rRNA from 1 species
CAGCCGCCGCGGUAAUACGUAGGUCCCGAGCGUUGUCCGGAUUUAUUGGGCGUAAAGCGAGCGCAGGCGGUUAGAUAAGUCUGAAGUUAAAGGCUGUGGCUUAACCACAGUACGCUUUGGAAACUGUUUAACUUGAGUGCAAGAGGGGAGAGUGGAAUUCCAUGUGUAGCGGUGAAAUGCGUAGAUAUAUGGAGGAACACCGGUGGCGAAAGCGGCUCUCUGGUCUGUAACUGACGCUGAGGCUCGAAAGCGUGGGGAGCGAACAGGAUUAGAUACCCCCGUAGUCCCUGUCUCUUAUACC